rnacentral:rRNA from 1 species
AACGAACGCUGGCGGCAUGCCUAACACAUGCAAGUCGAACGAGACCUUCGGGUCUAGUGGCGCACGGGUGCGUAACGCGUGGGAACCUGCCCUUAGGUUCGGAAUAACUCCCCGAAAGGGGUGCUAAUACCGGAUAAUGUCUUCGGACCAAAGAUUUAUCGCCUUUGGAUGGGCCCGCGUUGGAUUAGCUAGUUGGUAGGGUAAAAGACUACCAAGGCGACGAUCCAUAGCUGGUCUGAGAGGAUGAUCAGCCACACUGGGACUGAGACACGGCCCAGACUCCUACGGGAGGCAGCAGUGAGGAAUAUUGGACAAUGGGCGAAAGCCUGAUCCAGCAAUGCCGCGUGAGUGAUGAAGGCCUUAGGGUUGUAAAGCUCUUUUACCCGGGAUGAUAAUGACAGUACCGGGAGAAUAAGCUCCGGCUAACUCCGUG